GUGCUUGCUUCGGCAGCACAUAUACUAAAAUUGGAACGAUACAGAGAAGAUUAGCAUGGCCCCUGCGCAAGGAUGAUUCCACCUCCUGGAGGAUCAUUAUAUAGUA
rfam:Otolemur garnettii contig173626, whole genome shotgun sequence.